rnacentral:rRNA from 1 species
UGCAAGUCGAGGGGUAACAUGGUAGCAAUACUGAUGACGACCGGCAAACGGGUGCGGAACACGUACAGAACCUUCCUUAGAGUGGGGGAUAGCCCGGAGANNNNCGGAUUAAUACCCCAUAGUAAUAUUUGGUGGCAUCAUUAGAUAUUUAAAGAUUUAUUGCUCUAAGAUGGCUGUGCGGCUGAUUAGGUAGUUGGUGUAGGUAACGGCUCACCAAGCCUUCGAUCAGUAACUGGUGUGAGAGCACGACCAGUCACACGGGCACUGAGACACGGGCCCGACUCCUACGGGAGGCAGCAGUAAGGAAUAUUGGUCAAUGGACGCAAGUCUGAACCAGCCAUGCCGCGUGAAGGAUGACGGCCCUCUGGGUUGUAAACUUCUUUUAUCUGGGACGAAACACUCUUUUUCUAAAGAGCUUGACGGUACCAGAGGAAUAAGCACCGGCUAACUCCGUGCCAGCAGCCGCGGUAAUACGGAGGGUGCAAGCGUUAUCCGGAUUCACUGGGUUUAAAGGGUGCGUAGGUGGGUUUGUAAGUCAGUGGUGAAAUCUCCGUGCUUAACAUGGAAACUGCCAUUGAUACUACAGGUCUUGAAUCUUCCGGAGGUCAGCGGAAUAUGUCAUGUAGCGGUGAAAUGCUUAGAUAUGACAUAGAACACCGAUUGCGAAGGCAGCUGACUACAGGGGCAUUGACACUGAGGCACGAAAGCGUGGGGAUCAAACAGGAUUAGAUACCCUGGUAGUCCACGCCCUAAACGAUGG